GUGUGACGUCCUGUUGUGUUCUUUACCCCCCCUCCCAAUGUAGACUUCAGGUUUCACAGUUAUUGUUUUCCGUCAGAUCGUUUACAGAUCUUGACGUUUCCGACCGCACUUGAAGGCAGCUUCAUUUUAUGGAGUAAGCAAAG